GUUCCCAAACUGUUCCCAAACUGUCCCAAACCUGUUUCCCAAACUGUUUCCCAAACCUGUUUCCCAAACUGUUCCAAACUGUUCCAAAACGCCUUUAACCGGGUCCGAUACAUGCAACACGCAUAAACUUUUCAGGGAGGGGUUAGAUGUCGGAUUGUGAUUGUGAGCAACACAGAUAGAACUGUGUAGCGUUGUGUAACGCAGCUCUUUACCUCUGAUCGGUCCCCCCUCAGUGGUAGACAGAGAACCGGGGCCACGUUCAGUAGCCAAAUGUUGUCAAACGUUGCAGAUAGAAAUGUCAUUAACAGAGCCGACGUGGUUCUUUAUUCUACAUGUAAGAGAUGCAUGUUUGUUCUAAAUAGCAUUUUUCUAUCCGAGCGUUCCAGAAACAUUGUGUCCUGCUGAGUGCGCCCCAGUCACAGCCAAAUGAACCGGCCAACCAACCGUCAGACCUCCACAAGUAUCUGAUUUAUAGCUAGAACCGUAGAGUUAGAAAGAGGACUUAUACCGGGUUAUAUCCACCUAGAGCCCUCUUUCUACCUCUAUGUUGUGAACGAGCUCCACCUCACAUCCCCAAGAGCUCUCCACUAGCUGUCUAGUCUCUCUGUCUUUCUGAUUUCCCAUGACAUGUUUAGCACUGAGCUGCUUGCUUUACCAAGCCAGAGGAGAACAUUCUAGAAACAUUUUAUAAUCUCUAAGACGUUCUAGAAACUCUCGUCUAGACUCUAGAAACUCUAGUACAUUCUAGAGCAUUCUUUAGACAGGUUAGCUAACAUGAUUGUUUCCAGAUGUUUUGGAUUAAAACAUAUUUAUUUUGCUAUGAUUACAGUUAUGUAGAUUGUAACAGAUAUUCCCUAUCAUAACUCGUAAAAUUAUAGAUACAAUAUAGAUAUAUAGAGAUAUAAAAAUGUAUAUAUUAUAGAGAGAUAAACAUACUUUUAUUUACUUCAAACACUAGGUACGUGGCUAGAGCUCAGAAACUCUCCAUUGAAAUCAGCUACACAGAUUCAAAUUGCACUUUGUCCCGGUAGCUCCACACAAUAUCCCACUACAAACUCUAUGCAGAUCUAUCCAACAUCCAUUUCUCCUUUACCAUUACAGUGCAGAGUGGUUGUGCCAUUAUAAAUAAAUGACAAUACGUAAGUGAGCGCAUAGAAAUAGAAUGUGUAGAACAGGCCUCCCAAUUCAAGUCAAUGAUGGCAUAUCUAUAGAUUAUAUUUCUAUGGGUCAGAUAGUGUAUAUACAGCAUUUUAAUAUAGAUGGAUAGAACUAUAUAGGUAGAGGGUAUGCCCACAUCGUUUUGCUUUUGCACAAUCACUCACGAUAUCCUUAUCCUUCAUAGCACAUCUUUCCUUUAUUUUUUACCCUCUUGCAGUGUUUUGUCCUCUCCUGCUCCCUCUAUCGUUCUCCCAAGCUGUCCAAUCCCAUACACCACCCCUGCCCUCCGUAUAGGUAGGUCCAGAGAGAGAGGGGGGGCCUACAAAUACCACCCCUGCCCUCCGUAUAGGUAGGUCCAGAGAGAGAGGGGGGGCCUACAUAUACCACCCCUGCCCUCCGUAUAGGUAGGUCCAGAGAGAGAGGGGGGGCCUACAUAUACCACCCCUGCCCUCCAUAUAGGUAGGUCCAGAGAGAGGGGGGGGCCUACAUUUACCACCCCUGCCCUCCAUAUAGGUAGGUCCAGAGAGAGGGGGGGGCCUACAUUUACCACCCCUGCCCUCCAUAUAGGUAGGUCCAGAGAGAGGGGGGGGCCUACAUAUACCACCCCUGCCCUCCGUAUAGGUAGGUCCAGAGAGAGAGGGGGGGCCUACAUAUACCACCCCUGCCCUCCGUAUAGGUAGGUCCAGAGAGAGAGGGGGGGCCUACAUAUACCACCCCUGCCCUCCAUAUAGGUAGGUCCAGAGAGAGAGGGGGGGGCCUACAUAUACCACCCCUGCCCUCCAUAUAGGUAGGUCCAGAGAGGGGGGGGCCUACAUAUACCACCCCUGCCCUCCAUAUAGGUAGGUCCAGAGAGAGGGGGGGGCCUACAUAUACCACCCCUGCCCUCCAUAUAGGUAGGUCCAGAGAGGGGGGGACCUACAUAUACCACCCCUGCCCUCCGUAUAGGUAGGUCCAGAGAGGGGGGGACCUACAUAUACCACCCCUGCCCUCCGUAUAGGUAGGUCCAGAGAGAGGGGGGGGCCUACAUAUACCACCCCUGCCCUCCAUAUAGGUAGGUCCAGAGAGAGAGGGGGGGGGCCUCCAUAUACCACCCCUGCCCUCCAUAUAGGUAGGUCCAGAGAGAGAGGGGGGGGGCCUCCAUAUACCACCCCUGCCCUCCAUAUAGGUAGGUCCAGAGAGAGGGGGGGGGGGCCUACAAAUACCACCCCUGCCCUCCGUAUAGGUAGGUCCAGAGAGAGAGGGGGGGGGCCUCCAUAUACCACCCCUGCCCUCCGUAUAGGUAGGUCCAGAGAGAGGGGGGGGCCUACAUAUACCACCCCUGCCCUCCGUAUAGGUAGGUCCAGAGAGAGGGGGGGCCUACAAAUACCACCCCUGCCCUCCGUAUAGGUAGGUCCAGAGAGAGGGGGGGGCCUACAUAUACCACCCCUGCCCUCCGUAUAGGUAGGUCCAGAGAGAGGGGGGGGUCUACAUAUACCACCCCUGCCCUCCGUAUAGGUAGGUCCAGAGAGAGGGGGGGGCCUACAUAUACCACCCCUGCCCUCCGUAUAGGUAGGUCCAGAGAGAGAGGGGGGGCCUACAUCAGAGGGGUGUUCAUCUACCCAGAAACCCCAGUGCCUCAGUGCCUUCUGUUUUCAGAGUCACAUCUACCCUUCCCCACUCGCCCCUCGCCCCUCACCAUCCCCCUCACCCCCUCCUGUGGUUGAUCAACAUCAACCACACUACGCCUUAAAGAGUCCUAGUCGCUGUCUGUGGGCAGGUAGCGGUUGGGAGCAAGGCAGUAGGGACUGGGCUUUGCUUAGUUGGUUGGAACAGUGAGUAAAGCGCAGGAAGAGAGGGGAAUGGAAACUAUUUUUGAUAUGGCGGCCAUUUUGGGGAUCUCCUUUGCCCAGUUUCACACAGUGUAGUGAGAUACUGUAAUUGCAGGGGCGAAAAGGCAAUGAUUUGUUUACUUCUCAGGUGUCUCUAGAGAUAGAUAGCUAGAUAGAUAGAAUCUACACUAUAUAAUAGGCACGCUAAGGCAGUUAGUCAGUUAUAUCAUAUAAUAUGAUAUAAAUUUAUGAAAUCAUAUGAAAAAAUAUAGGCCUAGGGUUUGAGUUACUGUAUGGUUUGUUAUCUGGCAUGGGCAUUUGUAAUGUCUUCCCUUCUCCCCUUAACCUCCAUUACAGACCACCUACCAUUCAUCAUGAAUCUGCCGCUGAAACCUACUUGCACUUGACACUGUGGGUGUCCACUGACCAGGCAGGAAACUGACUACUCCAUUUCGGCUCAGCAACACCAACAUGCUUGUCCAGAAUUGUACCUGUAGAUCCAAAAUGGCUGACAUCGACACACAACACUGCCAUUGAAUUAAAGCAUGUUGUGUGGAUUGUGUGCUCCAACCAUUAUAAAAUGAAUGACCAUUUUAAGGGGUUUAUUUUAUUUAUUUUUAAAUCCAGAAGAUUUGUGAAAAGGAGGCUUUACGAAGUUUACAGUUUACUCUCAAUCGUUCAUCCAUCCAUCCUACCUUCCUAUCCAUGUAUUUUUUGUCUUUCCUUUCUCUUUCUGAUGUGACUUCUUGAUCGACUCUCUCUAUCAUUUUUUCCUCCUCUUUGAGAAAGCAGACGUCCUGCGAAAGCCAAUCCAACCCCAUUCACUCAAUCGAUCAACUGUUGUGCGUUUGUGAAAUGAUGUAAAUGAUUGGUGUGUGAGGCUAGUGUUUGUUGAAACAGAAAUAAGGGCUCUCCUAACAAACUUAAGGGGUUUCAUGUACAGGCAGGUACAGUAGUGCUGCCAAAAGUCAUCUGUAUGUAUCUCAAACCAUACAGUGGUGUGGUCUCCCCUUGUACAGCACUAGGUGUGUGCAUGCGUGUGUGUUGGGGUCAAAGGUCAGGGUGAGAGAGUCUAUGUGGGGGGGGGGGGGGGGGGGGGGGGGGCACAGCAGGGGGUACGUUCCGCUGAGGUGAAACGUAAUGGUAUGUUCUGCUGAGGCGAAACGUUCUGGAAAAGAACAGAUAGAAAUGUAAUGAAUAGAGCUGACACGACACCCUUUUCUGUCAGACUGACAAGCAUAUCCGUUCUACUUGAUGCAUUUCUAUCUGAAUGUUUUCUGUAACAUUUGCACCCUCCUGAACAGACCCCGGUUAGAAGUAGUGUCACAAGUCACAUUAUUUCACAAAUGGCACUGGAACGUUCUUGGUUCAUUUUCUAGCUCCGCCUUCUUCCGCUUGCCAAUACAGCCUUCAUUAUGAUGUCAUCAGCUGCCAUUUUCUCAUUGACCUCCACCUGCAUCCCCCAGCUCAUUUUGGAGUGGAGGGUCACCAACCUCAUCAGGGCUGGGUUUACUGGCAUGACAGUGAGACAUUCCUCUGUGUCUGUGUGUUGUGUUCGUGUGUGUUUGCUACAUGUGUGUGCGCGUGUGUGAGUGAGUGAGAGAGUAUGUGCAUGAGUGAGUGCGUGCGUGCGUGUGAUCACACCUCAUCUACAGUAAGUUAUCUUCAGUGCCUUACACUGUACAGUAGGAACCAAAUCUUCUUUGUAGAUAGACAACACACACUGCACUGAAUAACGCUUUCAUAAUGUUUCCAUAACAUUUUCUCUCCAACUGUACUCUUCUCUCCAUCCAGUUAUGCCUCACCUACCAUUCUAUUCCUUCUCUCUCUGUGAUCGACGAGUAAGGUCUGGAGGGAGGGCAUGGGUGAAUGAAUAGGUGAUCGUUGUGUUGGGUCUGUCAUCAUUCUCUUUCUCUCUCUGUACAUUUGCUCUGUAAACUCUUCUUGUGUACAUCUUCCAUAAACUUUCUGAAACAAUCAGACCAUGUCCAUCUAUUUUCUCUUUUAUCGCCCCUCAAUUUAUUUUUCAACAUUUACAUUUCAAUCAUUUAGCAGAUGCUCUAAUCCAUUGUGACAUAGUGUCUACAACAUCAUUCCCACUCUUUAAUUGUGCUUGAAGUCUCACUCAAGUAAUGUCCAUGUACAUGUUAUACCAUACAUGAACACAAGGUGGUGCACUCAUGCUUUAAACAGAGUGUACAUUGGUCGACAUAACGUACCCUUCAGAGGCCUAUGUGUAUGUUGUCAUUAUAUUGUUUUCGCAGGAGAACGGGUGAGUAUCGUGUGUGUAUGUGCGUAUGUGCAUGUUUGGAGACUUCAGUGUGUGUGUGUGUGUGUGUGUGUGUGUGUGUGUGUGUGUGUGUGUGUGUGUGUGUGUGUGUGUGCGUGUGUGUUUGUGUGUGUCUUUACGUGACAUCACACACACACACAGCGACAACACCAAGAUUCUUGACGACCGUGGGUGUGAUUGAUUCUAGAGAUGUGUGGAGCGUCUUCUACUGUCACCAUGGAAACCCUCAAGGCCCCUGACUCUUCAUUCCAUACAGUCUCCCAGCCAUCACAUUAUAAUAUCACAAUACCAUCAAUUUGUCCCAUAGACACUGAUUUAAGAUCCGUUUUCAGUGUUAACCUCCUUAUGGUGAAGCAUAGGAGUGAGGUGGGGUGAAUCUACAGUAGAAACCAUACCAUAUCAGUCCAGUGCCACAGUAGAGAACCAUACAAGACAGGAGUCCUUUUAGGAAGCAAGAAGAGAAAAGACACGACAUAACUACAUGGCAAUUUAAGAUAAAAAGAGAAGUAUUUAAAUAACAGAUUUGCAUGUGCAAUGUGCAUGCCACUACGUGGGGUUAAAUAAGUCAACUUCAGGAAUAAAAUAAAAUAAAAAAUAUUAAGAGAAAAAAAGUAUAUAUAUAUAUGUAUAAAUAUAUAUAGAUAGAUGUUUUUAAGAGCAAUGUGUUCCUUUUUCUUCUAUUUUUAAAAACAAACAACUGGAGAAAAAAACUUGGACAAAAAAAAUAGAUAGAUAAUCUUUAAAAAGAAGAACUUUGGUGAUGUAAUCAAAGAAUGUUUUUGUUUGUUACUUGACAGUUAAUUCACUAAAGAGCUGUGACGGCGGGGAGGUAGACGAUUUAACACUUUAAACAAAAUGUUGAAACAUUACAUUACAACAACAAAAAUUAAGAAAAGAUAAAUAAAAGAUAAACAUGGAAUGAAGGAAUACAUUUUUCCUUAAUUAAAGAAAAACAAAAAUCCCUUGAUUGAGAGUCUUGAGAGCUGCCUGAUGACUCUGGUUAUGAUGUUACCCGUUUAUUCCGGCUAUGAAAUCUCUUUUUCUCUCGCUCUCUAUCUCUGCUAUUUCUACCAGUGCAUUUUGUUACUCCGAACAGAACUCUUCCUAAGGAACCUGAAUAAAACCAGAGAGAAUGCAUUCUA